rnacentral:rRNA from 1 species
UACGGGUGGCAGCAGUGGGGAAUAUUGCACAAUGGGCGAAAGCCUGAUGCAGCUAUGCCGCGUGUAUGAAGAAGGCCUUAGGGUUGUAAAGUACUUUCAUCGGGGAGGAAAAACAAAACUAAUAAUUUUAUUUCUUGACGUUACCCGAAAAAGAAGCACCGGCUAACUCCGUGCCAGCAGCCGCGGUAAUACGGAGGGUGCUAGCGUUAAUCAGAAUUACUGGGCGUAAAGAGCACGUAGGUGGUUUUUUUAAGUCAGAUGUGAAAUCCCUGGGCUUAACCUAGGAACUGCAUUUUGAAACUGAAAUACUAGAGUAUCGUAGAGGGAGGUAGAAUUCUAGGUGUAGCGGUGAAAUGCGUAGAUAUCUGGAGGAAUACCUGUGGCGAAAGCGGCCUCCUAAACGAAUACUGACACUGAGGUGCGAAAGCGUGGGGAGCAAACAGGGAUUAGAUACC